rnacentral:rRNA from 1 species
CGUUAGCGGCGGACGGGUGAGUAACACGUGGGUGACCUACCUAUAAGACUGGGAUAACUCCGGGAAACCGGGGCUAAUACCGGAUAACACAUGAAACCGCAUGGUUUCAUGAUGAAAGACGGUUUUGCUGUCACUUAUAGAUGGACCCGCGGCGUAUUAGCUAGUUGGUAAGGUAACGGCUUACCAAGGCAACGAUACGUAGCCGACCUGAGAGGGUGAUGGCCACACUGGAACUGAGACACGGUCCAGACUCCUACGGGAGGCAGCAGCA